rnacentral:lncRNA from 1 species
UAAAUUAAAGAAGCUACUCACCGGAUAUUCCAAAACCAAGUAUUAUAGACACCUGCAACCAGAAGCAUAACUAGCAUUAAUUUAAAAGAAGGAAACAUGGUGAUCAUUAGCUGUGAGAGUAACAUUUUGAUUGCAUAGGAAACUCACCACUCAAAAUAGAUGAACAUACAGCUAGCUAAACUCACCAGUUCGAUGCAUGCUUUGAAGCCUUCAUUUGCAGCAUCAUCGAUCAAAACCCCUUUUAUCUGGAUUGAACUGAGCAAAUACACAUCCUCUAGAUCAGAUAAAUUCAACUGAAAAUAUAUUCACAAUAUUAUAACAUUCAGUACACAAAUGGAUAUCAAAGUCAAAAACUAAACAGAUGUGAAUAUUACAAUGAAAGGUAAGAAAACAUUCAAAGAAAGAGCAUAGGAAACAAAUAAAGUGAGAGAAACCCAAAAAACCCAGGUUGGGAUUAUACCUGAAAUGUGUGAAUACUCAAACCCAGAAGCUGAAAACUCAGAAAGCCCAACUUUACAUCACCCAACGCAAACCCAUCUGCCUCCACUCUUCAAACAAUCGACGAAACAAUCGCAAAUUAGAGCUUCUUCUUCAUCAUCCCUUUAUCCCUUAUUGAUCAUCCCUCCAGUCACCGUUGGGUUGACGACAAAAUCGAAGAACACAAAGAGGAAUAAGAGAGUUUAAGAGAAGGGAGGUGCAUAGACGAGAAGAGAAGAGAGAGAGAAAGAGGAGAGGAAGAAGAGAGUUUAAGAGAAGGGAGGCGCAGAGAAGAGAAGAGAAGAGAAGAGAGAGAGAAAGAGGAGAGGCGCAGAGAAGAGAGUUUAGGUAUUUUAGUUUUACGGUUUUUUUUUCAAUAAAAAAAUUAUAUGUACCAAUUAGAUGCUGACACGUGGCAAUUUUUUUUAUCUCGGGCCUGAACGGGCUUUCGGGUCAGGACCGAACCCGAACCCGAACCGAAAUAAAAGCAUUCGGGCCGGUCUAUGGCCCGAACCGAACAUCUCUCAUUUUGGACCGGCCCGGUUGAGACCGAUCGGGCUUUUAGGUCGGUUUUUCCUGGUUUUUGGGCCCGAACGCCCAGCUCUACUAGCCACAAUUCCCUGUAAGCUUACAGUACGUUGUGAGUCUUGUGACUUAUCAGAGGAAAGAAAAAGAGAAUAUCCCUGAGAUAAUUGAAGAAUUGUUGGUGGCAUGGACAAUAUCCCUGCAAUUUCUUAAGAGCCACGAGGCCCACGACAUCUAUUAUUGGAAGACUGCAAGCAAAAAGAGAGAUGUGACAAAGAGAAAAGCAACAAAAUGCAAAUUUCUAGACUGACCGACUUGAGUAAAGAAAUAUGCAAUGUUGGUGAGUGGAGUUUGACAUAAUGGCAAUUCGAUCAGCUUUGGAUUUCAAUGUUAAUAAUGAAACUAAUGCUUUGGAUUCCAUAGAGAAACUACGAGUCCAAGGUCGCGUAGCAACUCUAAUAUUAGUUGCUUCUCUGCAGUUGAUCAAGAUUGACCGCCAUACAUUUCUUUGUUUUUGAGUUUACUUCUAUGUAAGAUUGUGUUAUUAGCUUCCAUGUAGCUUUCCAGUUGAUUAUUUUGCACAAUUCAAUUUAUUAAAGUGCAAGAUUGCUGUAUCAUGUGCUGCAAGAUUGUUAUAUGUAUUACACUCGAUGAAUGAAUAUUUGUUAGUACACGGGUUGUUUCGUUUUAGCUUAAGAGUCAUUAUCUCAAGUACCUUCCAAUCUGCUGCUCUUUUGCC